UUUAAAUCACCUAGGUUACCUGGGCGAGUUGUAAUUUGAAGAAAGUGYUUUGAUGCUCUGGUUUURUCUAAAUCCUUUGGGAUAAGGUAUCAUAGAGGGUGAGAAUCCCGUUCAUGAUUUAAACCCUGGGUGUCACCUAAUUCACUUUCUAAGAGUCGAGUUGUUUGGGAUUGCAGCUCAAAAUGGGUGGUAAAUUUCACCUAAGGCUAAAUAURUGCAAGAGACCGAUAGCGAACAAGUACCGUGAGGGAAAGAUGAAAAGAACUUUGAAAAGAGAGUUAAAUAGUACGUGAAAUUGUUGAAAGGGAAACGAUUGAAGUCAGUCAUGCUUGCAGGGAAUCAGCAUGGUGGUUUAUUCUUCCUUGUGCACUUCCUUGCUUGGCAGGUUAGCAUCAAUUUCGAUUGUCAUUAAAGAAYUGGGGGAAUGUGRCUUCUUCGGGAGUGUUAUAGACCCUGGUAGAUGUGGCGAUCGGGAUUGAGGAUUGCAGCGAAUGCUUCUUGGCUAGUCACCUGGCUUCUGAURGUCGCCUCGCUUCCGAUAGCUUGCUAAUGGUGGUGAGACUCGAUUGUCUAGAAGU
rnacentral:rRNA from 1 species